rnacentral:rRNA from 1 species
GACGAACGCUGGCGGCGUGCCUAAUACAUGCAAGUUGAGCGCUGAAGGUUGGUACUUGUACCAACUGGAUGAGCAGCGAACGGGUGAGUAACGCGUGGGGAAUCUGCCUUUGAGCGGGGGACAACAUUUGGAAACGAAUGCUAAUACCGCAUAAAAACUUUAAACACAAGUUUUAAGUUUGAAAGAUGCAAUUGCAUCACUCAAAGAUGAUCCCGCGUUGUAUUAGCUAGUUGGUGAGGUAAAGGCUCACCAAGGCGAUGAUACAUAGCCGACCUGAGAGGGUGAUCGGCCACCUUGGGACUGAGACACGGCCCAAACUCCUACGGGAGGCAGCAGUAGGGAAUCUUCGGCAAUGGACGAAAGUCUGAACGAGCAACGCCGCGUGAGUGAAGAAGGUUUUCGGAUCGUAAAACUCUGUUGGUAGGGAAGAACGUUGGUGAGAGUGGAAAGCUCAGCAAGUGACGGUAACUACCCAGAAAGGGACGGCUAACUACGUG